rnacentral:rRNA from 1 species
GAUGAACGCUAGCUACAGGCUUAACACAUGCAAGUCGAGGGGAAACGAUAGAGAAGGCGUGCUUUUUCUAGGCGUCGACCGGCGCACGGGUGAGUAACGCGUAUCCAACCUGCCCACCACUUGGGAAUAACCUUGCGAAAGUAAGACUAAUACCCAAUGAUAUCUCUAGAAGACAUCUGAAGGAGAUUAAAGAUUUAUCGGUGAUGGAUGGGGAUGCGUCUGAUUAGCUUGUUGGCGGGGUAACGGCCCACCAAGGCGACGAUCAGUAGGGGUUCUGAGAGGAAGGACCCCCACAGUGGAGCUGAGACACGGUCCAAACUCCUACGGGAGGCAGCAGUGAGGACUAUUGGUCAAUGGGCGAGAGCCUGAACCAGCCAAGUAGCGUGCAGGAUGACGGCCCUAUGGGUUGUAAACUGCUUUUAUAAGGGAAUAAAGUGAGCCUCGUGAGGCUUUUUGCAUGUACCUUAUGAAUAAGGACCGGCUAAUUCCGUGCCAGCAGCCGCAGUAA